CAGUAGUCACGUAGUUUGAUCCUGGCUCAGAACGAACGCUGGCGGCAUGCCUAACACAUGCAAGUCGAACGAGACCUUCGGGUCUAGUGGCGCACGGGUGCGUAACGCGUGGGAACCUGCCUUAGGUUCGGAAUAACUCAGAGAAAUUUGAGCUAAUACCGGAUAAUGUCUUCGGACCAAAGAUUUAUCGCCUUUAGAUGGGCCCGCGUUGGAUUAGCUAGUUGGUGGGGUAAAGGCCUACCAAGGCGACGAUCCAUAGCUGGUCUGAGAGGAUGAUCAGCCACACUGGGACUGAGACACGGCCCAGACUCCUACGGGAGGCAGCAGUGGGGAAUAUUGGACAAUGGGCGAAAGCCUGAUCCAGCAAUGCCGCGUGAGUGAUGAAGGCCUUAGGGUUGUAAAGCUCUUUUACCCGAGAUGAUAAUGACAGUAUCGGGAGAAUAAGCUCCGGCUAACUCCGUG
rnacentral:rRNA from 1 species